ensembl:snoRNA
GGUACUUGUUUGUCUUGUUUUUAUCUAACUUAUGGGCAGAUGCAAAAAAUAAAUCCUCUUUUGCAACCCAGAACUCAUUGAGUUUUGAUACAUAUAAGAAACAAUAUG